UUGUUCAACUGGAGAAGUUGAGUGGACACCUACACUAGGACAGUGGGAAUCUGCUCCUAAUUGUCAGGGAAGAUGACUUACUGCCGAAUAACAGGAGGAAUGCUGUUGGUUUCCUUGUAAAUCCUCUAGUGUUGCCAAAUGAGAGCACGGGGGAAGUAGUUUGCUACGUGCGAUGACUCAGUGGAUUUCAGCCGUUCGGCGGUGCCGGGAAGCCACUCCAGCCACUCAGGCCAAUCCUACAGCCGCUGCUCGUAACACCCGAAAGAGCGCAGCGACUGGAGAGUAAACGAACAGAGAGAGAGAAUUGAAGAGAGAUUUCUGUAGGUGUCCUAUUUUGACUGCCUUCUCUUCCAACGUCAGUGUAAAAUACUGAAGAAACCACAGCAGUCCUUUCCCAGUGUUUCUCUAUACAACCCGCAGACCGUUCCUUUUGAGGGCGACGGAUUUGUUACCCGGCUACCAGUUCUGCGACCAGCUAUUGUGGUACGAUCAUCAGAAGCUCUUUCCCAGGAAGCCCACGCUUCUGCUCAUACAAAAACCGAACCAGAAUUGGCCAGCGAUGCUAAUGAGAGCUUCUGGAUAAUACGUAUGUUUGAAUGCCUUUAUUGUGUGAGGUGAGUGAGAUAUCUGCCUUCUUUCUGUAAAUUAUUUUCUAGCAGGAGAUCAGUGGAAUCGUGAUUUUGAGACAAGCAGUGUGCACGGCCCGACGGCACAUGUGAAUGCUGUCUGAGUUCCGCUACAUCCAGCAGUACGCACGGCGUUUGGGAAGUCAGGCCUUACCUGGACCAAGGUGACAGUGCAGCUGGGGGAUGUCCCAAACUCAGGUUAGUAUUUUUUUCUCUGGCAAUUUCACCCUGAAGUUCGGGUUUCCUGGAAAAUCUCAGAUAAUUGGUGCUUGAAGCCAUCUGGAAAACGCGUUGGGUCUGCCUUUGUCCGAUAACGGAAUCAUUAAUUCGAAACUUGGAUUUGGACAGCUUAUAUAAACACAGCGAUCCUCCAGAUUUCCCUGAGGAAAAUGGGAGCAUUAAACAAACUGAAGAGGUCUGGGCGUUCUAAUUCAGUGGACAAGGUAUUACAUUACUACAGCAAAACUAUAACUUAGUCAUCUGCAUAAAAUAAUGAAUAUGCAGUUUUAGAGUGAUGAAAUAUUGUGCCUAAACAGAUCUAGACAUGGCGAAGUUUAGUUUGUCGGGAUUAUUUUGAGCCUGAAGGCACGUGCUAUCUGCCAGCAUGUUUUGUAAAGUACUCAGGAGUUUAUUUGGCAAAGAAGGAGCUGCGGUUGGAUCAUUCAC